CCCCGGCACCAUGUUGGGUACUGGCGAACGAAGCCGCGGCGCACGUGGGCCAGCGUCGCUCACCCUCUUCCGGGUGUGGGCGGCGCCCGUCGAGUCACGUGACGAUGGUCGCGCCCCUCCAGGUGUUUUAGCGCAGUCUCCGGCUCCCCGACGUUACCUGGCGCUUGGCCGAUGCUCCGGGAAUGCUUGUUGAAUAGAGCAGAGGAGAGACUUUUCUGCUAAAGUAAAGGCGUCACGCAGAGAGUGUGCAGGGUGCAGGGGUUGAAAUGGAGAAGGUGGAAGUCGCAGGAGACCCAUGGGAGCCACCGCAGACACUCAACACCCGGAACCUGUUGCUGGAAAACUCUGGCCGCUGUGCACGGACGGACUUAAGGGCAGAGUCUAUGGGAGCAGGGAAAGCUGGUGAGACUAGUGCCUUCUCCAGGAAAAGGUAGUAGGGUCUGGCGAAAAGUGCCCGGUGGGACCCGGCGUGUUCUGGACUGGGACUGAAACUUGCGGAUGGCACCGGACCAGGGAAAAGGGAGGACUGAGAAGUUACGUGCGAGUUUGUCAACGUGCUUCGUUAUUCCUGGGAACAUUUCUAGUGUCUACUGCGUGUCACGCAGAGGCAGAGAAGCUUUCAUACCUGGGAAGGUGCCUUUUCUUGGGGACAAUGUGUUGCUGUUUGCUGCCCAGAUUGAUCUCAAACUUGUGGGCUCAAGCCAUCCUCCUGCCUCAGCCUCUACCUCAACCAGCAGAUUCCUUUAACAUAAAUUCUAAGAGCUCCGAAGGUUCCCGGCCCUGUGGGUACAUGACUUAGCCCAUUUUACUGAGGAAGAGGAAGAAACCAAGGCCCAGCAGUGUAGGCCUGGAGUGGGGACUGGCCAGGAGUGCAUUCCUUCCCCGCCUGGGGCCCUGCAGCCAACACUCACAUGUUCUUCUGGGCCAGGAUGAUGGCAUUGACGUCAUCCGUGUUCACCAUGCUCAGGAU